AACGAACGCUGGCGGCGUGCCUAACACAUGCAAGUCGAACGAGAAAGGGGCUUCGGCUCCGAGUAAAGUGGCGCACGGGUGAGUAACACGUGGGUAACCUGCCUCUAAGAUUGGGAUAACUCGUCGAAAGAUGAGCUAAUACCGAAUAAGACCACAGUUCCCGCGGGAACAGGGGUCAAAGGUAGCCUCUGCUUGCAAGCUAUCACUUAGAGAUGGGCCUGCGCACCAUUAGCUAGUUGGUAGGGUCACGGCCUACCAAGGCAAAGAUGGUUAGCUGGUCUGAGAGGAUGAUCAGCCGCACUGGGACUGUGACACGGCACAGACUCCUAGGGGAGGGAGCAGUGGGGAAUAUUGCGCAAGGGGCGAAAGCUUGACGCAGCAACGCCGCGGGAGUGAUGAAGGCCGUCGGGUCGUAAAGCUCUGUCGGGAGGAACGAAUGCUCCUGAGGUUAACAGCCUCGGGAGGUGACGGUACCUUCAAAGGAAGCACCGGCUAACUCUGUG
rnacentral:rRNA from 1 species